rnacentral:misc_RNA from 1 species
GAUGAAGAACGCAGCGAAAUGCGAUACUUGGUGUGAAUUGCAGAAUCCCGUGAACCAUCGAGUCUUUGAACGCAAGUUGCGCCCGAAGCCAUCAGGUUGAGGGCACGUCUGCCUGGGCGUCACAUAUCGUUGCCCAAUGCCUAUUGCAGUGCAAUAGGAAUUUCUAGGGCGAAUGAUGGCUUCCCGUGAGCGUUGUUGCCUCGCGGUUGGUUGAAAAUCGAGUCCUUGGUAGGGUGUGCCAUGGUAGAUGGUGGUCGAGUUAGAACGAUACCGAUCAUGUGCAUGCUCCCCAAAAUAUGGCCUCUAUGACCCACACGCGUCUUUUGACGCGCAUGACGAGACCUCAGGUCAGGCGGGGCUACCCGCUGAAUUUAAGCAUAUCAAUAAGCGGAGGA